UGCCUUGUGGUAGAUUGCAAGAAGGGGUUACCUUCGUCCGUGGGUAAAUUCCCAAGUUUCCACAUGGCUACACGAAUUUCGGGAUUUGCUUCCAUCACUGUAUAAUUUGGUUAUAGUGGUGACAAUGAUGCCCGAAACAUCG